UACGGAGGGUGCAAGCGUUAAUCGGAAUUACUGGGCGUAAAGCGCACGCAGGCGGUUUGUUAAGUCAGAUGUGAAAUCCCCGGGCUCAACCUGGGAACUGCAUUUGAAACUGGCGAGCUAGAGUCUCGUAGAGGGGGGUAGAAUUCCAGGUGUAGCGGUGAAAUGCGUAGAGAUGUGGAGGAACACCGGUGGCGAAGGCGGCCCCCUGGACAAAUACUGACGCUCAGGCGCGAAAGCGUGGGGAGCGAACAGG
rnacentral:rRNA from 1 species